UGUCUCUCUAUUGAUUUCUUCUGAUUGAUUGACCUCUCUCUGUCGAUUCUUCUGAUUGAUUGCAUUUCUCCCUAUUUGGUUUCUUCUGUUUGAUUGCCUCUGUCUGAUUGCUUCUCUAUGUUGAUUUUCUGAUUGCAUCUCUCUCCGUAUUGAUUCUUCUUUUAUUUAUGCUUCUCUUUCUCUCUACUUUGGAUUGGUUUGAUUUGGUUCAAUUUGGAUUGGAACAAUUUGGUUUGGUUUCCUGUUCGGUUUGGUUUUGUUUGGACGUUUCUACUGAUGAUGGUUCUGCAUUUUCAAUGAUGUCAACUCACUUUGGUUGCUGCUCUCUGUUAGUUAUUUUGGUUUGAUGUCUUUGUUUGACAAACUCUCAAUGUUUCAUGUCAAGGCAUUGCGAGUUUGCGGGGAGAUGUUAGAUAAUAUGUUAGUGAUUUAAUAAUAUAAUGGGCUUUUGGUUGUAAUUGGGCUUUCGGCAUAAUAGUAAUUUAGUUUAUUCAUGUUUUCUAUAUAUUCAUAAGACAACUCAUUGUAUUCUAAGCUAUUGUAAUGUAAUUCUAUGAAACCCUAGUAGCCUCC
rnacentral:lncRNA from 1 species